rnacentral:rRNA from 1 species
CCUACGGGGAGCUGCAGUGGGGAAUAUUGCACAAUGGGCGCAAGCCUGAUGCAGCCAUGCCGCGUGUGUGAAGAAGGCCUUCGGGUUGUAAAGCACUUUCAGCGGGGAGGAAGGCGUUAAGGUUAAUAACCUUGUCGAUUGACGUUACCCGCAGAAGAAGCACCGGCUAACUCCGUGCCAGCAGCCGCGGUAAUACGGAGGGUGCAAGCGUUAAUCGGAAUUACUGGGCGUAAAGCGCACGCAGGCGGUCUGUCAAGUCGGAUGGGAAAUCCCCGGGCUCAACCUGGGAACUGCAUUCGAAACUGGCAGGCUAGAGUCUUGUAGAGGGGGGUAGAAUUCCAGGUGUAGCGGUGAAAUGCGUAGAGAUCUGGAGGAAUACCGGUGGCGAAGGCGGCCCCCUGGACAAAGACUGACGCUCAGGUGCGAAAGCGUGGGGAGCAAACAGGAUUAGAUACCCCGGUAGUC